rnacentral:lncRNA from 1 species
ACACUUUCACCUUCCAUACUACAAACUUUCAAAACAUAAUUUCUUCCUCUCAAAAACAUCUCACCAUCAUCUAAAAAAAUCACCUCUUAACUCCUUAUGCAAAAAUGCACACACAACCUUAAUCUUCUUCACCGUUCGAACCUCUCCAACUACACCCAUAACCAACACCACACUAAAAUCAAACCUCCAUAAUUUAUCACAAAAACAUGUUUUCAUCUUCUACAAAUCUCACACAACAAUGUCUCCAUUAUCACUUAACCUAAAAACAUGUUUUCAUCUUCUACAAAUCUCACACAACAAUGUCUCCAUUAUCACUUAACCUUCCAUCAACCCAUCCCAAAACAACUUAACUCUCAUUUCUUAUCCCUCUCCACACCGUGAAAUUUCGAUCGACCGAGACAUACGACAAACCG